CCCCCGGUGCCGCCGGUGCCCCCGCCCCGCCCCGGGAGGAAGAACCGAAGGAGCUCCGAGUGGACGAUCCAGCGGAAGCUGCGGGAAUUCUUUGCCAUCCCGCGGUGCCUGGUCAGCGUGUUCAGCCUGUUCCUGGUGGAGCUGAUCCGCUUCCUUGGCGAGGCCGUGGUCCAGGCGCUGGUGGUCGGUGUCCUGACAGCCAUCGGCGACCACGUGCUGAAGCCCUUCCUGGCGGCGGCGUUUCACAGCCUGCUGCAGCCACUCCUGCUCUUCCUGCUGAAGGUGCUGGGUGGUGUCCGGGACCUGACGGAUCCUGUGCUGGACGUGGUGGCUCGGGUGUGCUCCCAGCUGGCCGUGCUGCUCCGCGCCGUCCGGCUGGUGGAGGUCCGCCUGCGCCCGGACCUGCGGGCUGGCCCUGGCGAUGGUGGCGGAUGAGGACAGCCGUGGGUGGCCAGAUAAGAUAAGGAAAAAGAAUUCCUGGGAAUUGCAGAAGAGCAGGACCAGCUGCGGCCCAGGAGACACCGUUGUCUCCACGUGUGUCCAGGCAGGGGGCAGCUCAUGGUGUGCUGGGAGGGCAGUUUGGAUCUUCUAGUUCUGCAAAUAUAUCCUUAACUUAAUUAAAUUCCAAUUUUAUCCAUUGUA